AUAAUAAUCAUUUCCCAUCUGGACAGCAUAUUCUAUUACCCUUUGUUUCUCGAGUGCAGUCAACAUUUGUUCUCAGAAUAACAUCACAUCUUUCCAGGUCAAGCCGUAAAGCUGGGUAGUCAUUUCAAAAGUUUGUACAUACUGAUCCAGACUGUUGGUGUAGCUUCCUAGAUUCCGCUUUAUCUCUUUUAGCUCUGAUAAGCAAAAGUAGACAUAAACUAAUUCUGGCCAGAAUUCUCUCCACCAGACAGCUCCUAUUAGAGGAAAAUUCCUGGGGCUAGAAGAGAGGCAGCAUUGUGAUUAGUCGGGAUUGGCUCUCCUGGGAGAGACCUGUUGGAAACAUCUAUCAAAAAUGCAGAAUUCAGCCAGAAUCUUUCUCCAGUAAGCUUCCAGGAGAUGAAGAAUGGAAUGAACUAAAACCAGGUGAUUUUGUCUCUAGGAAAAGACCCUUCAUCAAGGACUUCCUUCAAUAUCAUUGUAAAAGACCUUAUCAGGUACAUUUAACUGCCUCCUAUGCUGCAAAGAUUUAGAGGGUAAAUUUCAUAUUCCCUACC